UACGUAGGGUGCGAGCGUUGUCCGGAAUUACUGGGCGUAAAGAGCUCGUAGGUGGUUUGUCACGUUGUUCGUGAAAACUCACAGCUUAACUGUGGGCGUGCGGGCGAUACGGGCAGACUAGAGUACUGCAGGGGAGACUGGAAUUCCUGGUGUAGCGGUGGAAUGCGCAGAUAUCAGGAGGAACACCGGUGGCGAAGGCGGGUCUCUGGGCAGUAACUGACGCUGAGGAGCGAAAGCGUGGGGGAGCGAACAGG
rnacentral:rRNA from 1 species